AGAGUUUGAUCCUGGCUCAGGACGAACGCUGGCGGCGUGCUUAACACAUGCAAGUCGAACGGAAAGGCCCUUCGGGGUACUCGAGUGGCGAACGGGUGAGUAACACGUGGGUGAUCUACCCUGCACUUUGGGAUAAGCCUGGGAAACUGGGUCUAAUACCGAAUAGGACCGCGCGCUUCAUGGUGUGUGGUGGAAAGCUUUUGCGGUGUGGGAUGGGCCCGCGGCCUAUCAGCUUGUUGGUGGGGUAAUGGCCUACCAAGGCGACGACGGGUAGCCGGCCUGAGAGGGUGACCGGCCACACUGGGACUGAGAUACGGCCCAGACUCCUACGGGAGGCAGCAGUGGGGAAUAUUGCACAAUGGGCGCAAGCCUGAUGCAGCGACGCCGCGUGAGGGAUGACGGCCUUCGGGUUGUAAACCUCUUUCACCAGGGACGAAGCGCAAGUGACGGUACCUGGAGAAGAAGCACCGGCCAACUACGUGCCAGCAGCCGCGGUAAUACGUAGGGUGCGAGCGUUGUCCGGAAUUACUGGGCGUAAAGAGCUCGUAGGUGGUUUGUCGCGUUGUUCGUGAAAACUCACAGCUUAACUGUGGGCGUGCGGGCGAUACGGGCAGACUAGAGUACUGCAGGGGAGACUGGAAUUCCUGGUGUAGCGGUGGAAUGCGCAGAUAUCAGGAGGAACACCGGUGGCGAAGGCGGGUCUCUGGGCAGUAACUGACGCUGAGGAGCGAAAGCGUGGGGAGCGAACAGGAUUAGAUACCCUGGUAGUC
rnacentral:rRNA from 1 species